AAGGCUAGUAGGAGGUGUUCCCCCUGCGCCAUCUUGCCGGUGCUUACUCCUCCUCGUUCCUGGCCACCGAAUCAAUGGGCAAGGAGGAGGAGCGCGAGUGAAGACUGACAGCCGAGCGAUGCUCUCGGAGCUCAGCGUUUCCAGGUUAGCUCAGAGCUAAGGAGCUAGGCUACAUGCUACCCGACGCUGCUAACCGGUUAGCGCUGUGCUGUAGCUGAUCCGGCUGGUCGCGAUCUCUACGAACUCACUAGAGAGGGAAGUGGAGAGACUUGAUGUGGACGGUUAUCAACAGCUCUGUGGGAGAUUAUCACCUUGAACAUUACAGAUGAGGUACAAACCCAGAGCCCAGUAAAUCGGUUCCGACUGAAAUCUGUGGUGCUGAACACAGAAUAAACUAUGAAGCACUGCAGCACCGGAUCUGUCCUUAGCAGCAACAUGGUGGAGAUCGGCAGCUUCAGGGUGG